rnacentral:rRNA from 1 species
UACGUAGGGACCAAGCGUUGUUCGGAUUUACUGGGCGUAAAGGGCGCGUAGGCGGCAUAUUAAGUCAGCUGUGAAAUCUCCGAGCUUAACUCGGAACUGUCAGCUGAUACUGAUGUGCUAGAGUGCAGAAAGGGCAAUCGGAAUUCUUGGUGUAGCGGUGAAAUGCGUAGAUAUCAAGAGGAACACCUGAGGUGAAGACGGGUUGCUGGGCCGACACUGACGCUGACAGCGCGAAAGCCAGGGGAGCAAACGGG